CGUGUAGGCGGUUUGCUAAGUUGGAUGUGAAAACUCUGGGCUUAACCCAGAGCCUGCAUCCAAAACUGGCUAACUUGAGUACUGGAGGGGAAAGCGGAAUUCCUGGUGUAGCGGUGAAAUGCGUAGAUAUCAGGAGGAACACCGGUGGCGAAGGCGGCUUUCUGGACAGUAACUGACGCUGAGGCGCGAAAGCUAGGGGAGCAAACA
rnacentral:rRNA from 1 species